UACGAGGGGGGCAAGCGUUGUUCGGAAUUAUUGGGCGUAAAGGGUGCGUAGGCGGUUUGGUAAGUCUUAUGUGAAAUCUACAGGCUCAACUUGUAGUCUGCAUGAGAAACUGCCGGGCUUGAGUAUGGGAGAGGUGAGUGGAAUUACCGGUGUAGCGGUGAAAUGCGUAGAUAUCGGUAGGAACACCAGUGGCGAAGGCGGUCUCCUGGGGCAUUCUUGACGCUGAGGCGCGAAAGCUGGGGGAGCAAACGGG
rnacentral:rRNA from 1 species